rnacentral:rRNA from 1 species
GUCGUACAGGUCUCCGUAGGUGAACCUGCGGAGGGAUCAUUACACAAAUAUGAAGGCGGGCUGGAACCUCUCGGGGUUACAGCCUUGCUGAAUUAUUCACCCUUGUCUUUUGCGUACUUCUUGUUUCCUUGGUGGGUUCGCCCACCACUAGGACAAACAUAAACCUUUUGUAAUUGCAAUUAGCGUCAGUAACAAAUUAAUAAUUACAACUUUCAACAACGGAUCUCUUGGUUCUGGCAUCGAUGAAGAACGCAGCGAAAUGCGAUAAGUAGUGUGAAUUGCAGAAUUCAGUGAAUCAUCGAAUCUUUGAACGCACAUUGCGCCCUUUGGUAUUCCAAAGGGCAUGCCUGUUCGAGCGUCAUUUGUACCCUCAAGCUUUGCUUGGUGUUGGGCGUCUUGUCUCUAGCUUUGCUGGAGACUCGCCUUAAAGUAAUUGGCAGCCGGCCUACUGGUUUCGGAGCGCAGCACAAGUCGCACUCUCUAUCAGCAAAGGUCUAGCAUCCAUUAAGCCUUUUUUCAACUUUUGACCUCGGAUCAGGUAGGGAUACCCGCUGAACUUAAGCAUAUC